rnacentral:rRNA from 1 species
AACGAACGCUGGCGGCAGGCUUAACACAUGCAAGUCGAACGCCCCGCAAGGGGAGUGGCAGACGGGUGAGUAACGCGUGGGAAUCUACCUAGUUCUACGGAACAACAGAGGGAAACUUCUGCUAAUACCGUAUACGCCCUAUGGGGGAAAGAUUUAUCGGAAUUAGAUGAGCCCGCGUAAGAUUAGCUAGUUGGUGAGGUAAUGGCUCACCAAGGCGACGAUCUUUAGCUGGUCUGAGAGGAUGAUCAGCCACACUGGGACUGAGACACGGCCCAGACUCCCACGGGAGGCAGCAGUGGGGAAUAUUGGACAAUGGGCGCAAGCCUGAUCCAGCCAUGCCGCGUGAGUGAUGAAGGCCUUAGGGUUGUAAAGCUCUUUCAGUAGGGAAGAUAAUGACGGUACCUACAGAAGAAGCCCCGGCUAACUUCGUGCCAGCAGCCGCCGUAACAC